rnacentral:sRNA from 1 species
UUCUACUUCUCUCAAGACGGCUUCAUCCUUUUUAUGCUGAUUUUUUUCAGCAUAAAAAGAUAUAGUGUAAAGCAGUAAAUAGC